rnacentral:rRNA from 1 species
UACGAAGGGUGCAAGCGUUAGUCGGAAUUACUGGGCGUAAAGCGUGCGUAGGCGGUUUCUUAAGUCGGAUGUGAAAGCCCUGGGCUCAACCUGGGAAUGGCACUCGAUACUGGGAAGCUGGAGUGCGGUAGAGGAGGGUGGAAUUCCCGGUGUAGCGGUGAAAUGCGUAGAGAUCGGGAGGAACAUCAGUGGCGAAGGCGACCCUCUGGACCAGCACUGACGCUGAGGCACGAAAGCGUGGGGAGCAAACAGGAUUAGAAACCCCCGUAGUCC